rnacentral:misc_RNA from 1 species
AAAGUCGUAACAAGGUAACCGUAGGUGAACCUGCGGUUGGAUCAUUAACAAAUGAUUUGGUUUUUAACCAAAACACUGUGUGCAAUCAUAUCUGUCUCUGGUGGUUUAACCUUCCUGUCCGCAGGAAAACCAAACCACCAAAUGAUAAACAAACCUUUGUAUUUUUUAUUCUUGUCUGAAUCAUUCACUUUUGUGCAAUGAAAAAACAACUUUUGACAACGGAUCUCUUGGCUCUC